UCUAAGGAUUCCGAUUCAACCCACAGUCCCAGCCCAGAGUUCAGCAAUGCUACCUGGGGACUUGGUAGUGAUGUGUUCCCCUCUGGGAGUCACUGUUUUCUCCUCCAAGCAUGCCGGCUUGAAAAUGGAAGGUCAGCACCAGAACCUACAGAGGAUCUGAAGACGGUCAAGUUCCCAAAUGCCCCUGCCCUCAGGGGCUGUGGUGCUCAUUCUGGGUAGUCCAGUGUGGAGAAAGACCAGCUGUUUUGUUGUGUAAACAUCUCCAGUGAUUCAUCUGGGAUGGGAAGGAAGAUCGCUUUCAACUGAGAAACUGCGGUGGAUACUGUGGGCCUAUUGAAAAUAAAAGGAACCCUCCACCCUCCGAGAGACCCGGCAAGCAUCUGAAAGAGUCAGAAGCAGAUACUAGCACCCAACCAAUGGAGAGAAGCCGGGGGGAAGGAAGGCCCCGUGAAAGACCAGAAGUUUCAACUGACCUUGACCCCUGAGAUCUCUCAGACACGGAGUCACCAACCAGGCAGCAUACACUAGCUGAUGUGAGACGCACCCCCCCACACCCUCACACCCUCCCACACCCCCACAUCCCCACACCCCCACACACAUAUACAGCAGACGACUGCCUGGUCUGACUUAAGUGAGAGAAAAUAUACCUAACCCUCAAUUCACUUGAGGCCUCAGGGAGUAGGGAGGCCUGGUGGGGUGGGGACAUCCUCUUGGAGAAGGGGAGCAGGGCGGGAGGAGGGGGGAUGGGAUGGGAUGGGGAGCGGUGGGGGAGGGGUGAAGAGGAGACCGAAAGGGGGAAUGAAGACUGGACUGUAAAAAAAGGGUUAUGGAAUAGUAAAUAAAUAAAUAUUUUAAAAAUUUUAAAAAGGAAAAGGAAAUGAAAUGAGAGAUGUGCUUCAGAAAUCCAGAGAUUCAAUAACAACACGCAGAGGGAGGAAAAGUCUAGUUCUCAACAAACCACAAACAGAAAGGAUCCAGACGAGAACUGUAUACAUGGAAGAAAGACAGUCGUUCGGUAUAUUAUGGCUAAAAGUUAAGAACACUCUAGAAUAAAAGCCUGCCGUAAAGCACUUGGGUUGCUAAACGUCUUAUGUUGUUCGAAGCUUACAUCUGAUUUUUUUUUUUUUUUUUUUUUUUUGGUAAGUGGCUUUCAAGUACCUUUUUUUUUAAAUGAGAUGUCCUGUUCACCUUGGAAUGAACAAUACUGAUCGCUAUCACAAAAGGUUCUUUUGGAGCCCUCGGCUUAUCUGAACAACAAUUCAGGGAAAGUUCAAAGGGAGAAGAGGAAAAUUAUCUCUAGAAUCUGUUAAGGAAGCAUGAGUGUUUCCCAGGACAGCGACUGGCGUCCAGACUUCUCUGUGGUUUGACAUAACACGGCCAAGACGGGUUUUCAAAAGGGGAGAUAUUAUAAGUUCAAAGACAGCAAAGAAAACUAUUUUGUCUUUUUGACUCUGAGAUGGGACUUAGGUAAGCAAAAUGUUGUGGGCAGGGUGAGAACAGAAGGGGACGACAAAUGCACUCGAUCGAUGUGCUUCUCAAACGCCUUAAAGUCCAAGAGAACACUUAGACUAAGCAGACCGAUUACUGUCAUGCCUACCUGGCUUCCUUGGAAGAACUAAUAAAAGCAUAUUUAACACUA